CCCGCCCACUCCUCUCUCUCUCCUCCUUUCACCACCACCGUAUCCUCACCCACAUCGCCGUACCUUCACCGCCAGCCAGAUCCGGCUUCGUCGCCGCCACCAUCUAUUCCAGAAAUGUGGGUUUUGAGGCAGUUCGUCGUCUGUCAUGGGUUUUGUCGACAUGCCAGCUUGGUCUUUCAGCUCAAUUGGUAUUACAUCUCUGCAAUUUACUUUUCCCUGUUCUUCGUUUCUAUUGUUUAUUAAUAGCAAUUAGAAAGCUAUCUAUUUUGAACUAUGAGGAAAAGGAAAAUGCCCACCAACCAUUCCAACAGCAACAAUGAUGGACAUCACUGAAGAAGCAAGCGCAAGGUCGUGGACGUCGGCUUAGAAGGAAGAAAUCAACAAAACUUACCCAGCAAAGACAGACCUUCCAGCAGUUAACAGAAAUCUGAAAUCAGGGCCCCCUACUGUGUCUCAAUUGUUGGAUGGAAUGCUAUGUGGGCUGUUAUGGUAGUUGAAGUAGUAUUUGAGUACCCUCUAGGUGAGUAUUCAUAUGUCACACCUAUGUUUCUUUCUUUUAUUUAAUUCAUUGUGCAUAAGACUUUUGAAAAUGUUAUUCACUUGGAGUCAAAAUUCCAUUACCAUAUGCAGGUUCUACACUUUAUAAGUGUGUAAAUACAGCUAUGGUAGCAUGUCUCACUGAAUCUCUAGGA